rnacentral:tRNA from 1 species
ACCCAGCGAGCUCAGCUGGUAGAGCCUAGGACUCUUGAUUUCAUGGUUGUGAGUUCGAGCCCCAUGUUGGGUG